rnacentral:tRNA from 1 species
GCCUGGGUGGCUCAGUGGGUUAAGCAUCUGACUUCAGCUCAGUCAUGAUCUCAUGGUUUGUGGGUUUGAGCCCCACUUUGGGCU